rnacentral:rRNA from 1 species
AUACGGAGGGUGCAAGCGUUAUUCGGAAUCACUGGACGUAAAGGACGCGUAGGCGGGUUGGCAAGUCAGAUGUGAAAUCCUACAGCUUAACUGUAGAACUGCAUUUGAAACUGCUAACCUAGAGUAUGGGAGGGGGAGAUGGAAUUAGUGGUGUAGGGGUAAAAUCCGUAGAUAUCACUAGGAAUACCGAAAGCGAAGGCGAUCUCCUGGAACAUAACUGACGCUAAGGCGUGAAAGCGCGGGGAGCAAACAGGAUUAGAAACCCUAGUAGUCC